rnacentral:rRNA from 1 species
GACGAACGCUGGCGGCGUGCCUAAUACAUGCAAGUAGAACGCUGAAGGAGGAGCUUGCUUCUCUGGAUGAGUUGCGAACGGGUGAGUAACGCGUAGGUAACCUGCCUGGUAGCGGGGGAUAACUAUUGGAAACGAUAGCUAAUACCGCAUAAGAGUAGAUGUCGCAUGACAUUUGCUUAAAGGGUGCAAUUGCAUCACUACCAGAUGGACCUGCGUUGUAUUAGCUAGUUGGUGAGGUAACGGCUCACCAAGGCAACGAUACAUAGCCGACCUGAGAGGGGGAUCGGCAAAACUGGGACUGAGACACGGCCCAGACUCCUACGGGAGGCAGCAGUAGGGAAUCUUCGGCAAUGGACGGAAGUCUGACCGAGCAACGCCGCGUGAGUGAAGAAGGUUUUCGGAUCGUAAAGCUCUGUUGUAAGAGAAGAACGAGUGUGAGAGUGGAAAGUUCACACUGUGACGGUAUCUUACCAGAAAGGGACGGCUAACUACGUG